UAGUAAAUGAGCUUAUCAAAGAGGGUAAAAUUAAUAUGAGGACAGUAAUGAGUGGUGAUCAGUCUUGUGAUUUGUAUUGGCUUUGUCAUCUACAAGAAAAGAAGUAUCACUGGCCAAGCUAUAUAAGCCAAAAAUUGCUCUGAAACCAACCUGAAUUUUAUAUCAUUUCCAUGCUACAUUGAGACACCACUUUUAUUAAGUGAAACAAACUGAGGACAUUAAAGGAUCAUCAACUAAGAGUAAUAGAUCACAACAGAAAAGACAAAGUCAUUCGAAAUUUAUUCCUCCUCGAUCAGCUAAAAAACUUAAGACAAUAGACACAAGCACUUAUACUUCUGUUGCAUCUACAAGUACUGGUGAUCAUUCUAAAGAAACUUUGAUAGAACUAAGCAAAGAAAAGAAACAGUUGAUGGAAAAGCUCCAGGAGAAAGAAAAUAAAUUGCAGAAGCUUUGUUUGGUCAAGUUAUAUAGGACAAAGAAUGAUUUGACUCAGUUGGAGGGCUUGAUUUCAAAAUGGCGGUCAGUCAGUCAAGAAGCUGCACAAGCUUUACUUGAACACUCUCCUACUAGCAGACCAACCCCAUCAAUGACUGAACUAUUAGGCUACCUAUCCAUUAGCCCAGAUAUAAUACAUUAUGACACUGAAGAUGAAUCAUUCUAUUAAUUCUAAAAUAGACAAAAUUAAUAACCCAAA